rnacentral:lncRNA from 1 species
CACCUUGCGGUAUUCUUCUAGCUUAGCUAGGAUGAUACAUUUUACCUACCGUUUGACAAACUAUGACAUUUACAAGGUAAGUAGUAAUUAGGGAUGCUUAUCUGUGUGCCAAUUUGCAUCCUACAUGGUUAGCUCAUCGUGAUGUCACAGAAAACCUCCUUGCUAGCUGUACAGGCUUUGCUGCAAAAAAAGACAUUUUCAGUGAGCACCUUCCCUCGUUCUGCUCGAUGGUGGACUCUGUCCAGCAAACGCAUUUGCUGUGUGCCUGAAACCUGCUGCACAGAGGCAGAGGAGCUGUGGCAGUGCUGCAGGGAGCAUCAGGACGCCAGAGCUGCCCGAAGGGCCCAAACAUCCAAACCCUCUGCUUCCCUCGGGCUCUGCUGCACGACUAACAAAGCAGGUGGUGCGCAAGCCUAGGUAUUUGAUGUUUCUGAAGAUGAGAUAAAGGAGAAGAACCUCACACACUACCUGUGAAGCCAUGACCGACUCCAGGGACACAAUGAUUUCUUUAACAGUGCUGUGAGUCUCUGUGUGUACGGUAAGUUGUGCUGUGCCUGCAAUCCAAAAUAAAGGCCUGCACAUGCCACCA